CAAUAGCGUAUAUUAAAGUUGUUGCAGUUAAAAAGCUCGUAGUUGGAUUUCUGGUCGGAAGCUCCUGUCCUCUGAUGAGCGUACAAGUGCGUCCUACCAUCCUUCUGUUAACCUUUAAGGCUUUCGCGGCUUUCUAGGGGCUCAGAUAUUUUACCUUGAGAAAAUUAGAGUGUUUCAGGCAGGCUAGCGCCGGAAUACAUUAGCAUGGAAUAAUGGAAUAGGACUUUUGCCUCUUCUGUUGGUCAUGAGGCUCGAGUAAUGAUUAAUAGGGAUAGUUGGGGGCAUUAGCACUUAACUGUCAGAGGUGAAAUUCUCGGAUUUGUUAAAGACUAACUUAUGCGAAAGCAUUUGCCAAGGAUGUUUUCAUUAA
rnacentral:rRNA from 1 species